rnacentral:tRNA from 1 species
GGAAAACUCGAAUAGUGGUAAGUGUUUUCCGAAGAUAUUGAAAUCAUUGUAUAAAAUGGGGUUUGUUUAAUAGGUUAAUAGCCUAUCGGGGGUUCGAAUCCCCCUCUCUCCGCCA